AGGCAGCUAAGCACUCACUGUCUUCUUCCUUUUGCCUCGUCAAGCACGGGGGACGCUGGAAGGAAGAGAGGCUCCAGGGACCUACCUGACUUCCUAUUCAUGCUGAUCCCACUGAGACCCUUAUCAACCCUGACCUGUUCCCCAUGUGCCUCUUGGAUCUGCCUUAUGUUCCAGGUUCACUACAGAGAACUUCAGGUUGCAUCAAGGAACAUAUAUACACAGAAGUCAUUUGUACAGUUGAGCCGAAAUGCCUGUUCUAUCUAACAAAGAGAGCCUGGG
rnacentral:lncRNA from 1 species